GACGAACGCUGGCGGCGUGCUUAACACAUGCAAGUCGAACGGAAAGGCCCUGCUUUUGUGUGUUUCUCGAUUGGCGCACGGGUGAGUAACACGUGAGUAACCUGCCCUUGACUUUGGGAUAACUUCAGGAGACUCGGGCUCAUACCCGAUAGGAGCUCCUGCUGCAUGGUGGGGGUUGGAAAGUUUCGGCGGUUGGGGAUGGACUCGCGGCUUAUCAGCUGGUUGGUGGGGUAGUGGCUUACCAAGGCUUUGACGGGUAGCCGGCCUGAGAGGGUGACCGGCCACAUGGGGACUGAGAGACGGCCCAGACGCCUACGGGAGGCAGCAGGGGGGAAUAUUGCACAAUGGGCGGGAGCCUGAUGCAGCAGCGCCGCGUGCGGGAUGACGGCCUUCGGGUUGUAAACCGCUUUCGCAUGUGACGAAGCGUGAGUGACGGUAAUGGGUAAAGAAGCACCGGCUAACUACGUG
rnacentral:rRNA from 1 species